GUUGGUAGGGUAAAGGCCUACCAAGGCUACGAUGGAUAGCCGGCCUGAGAGGGUGAACGGUCACACUGGGACUGAGACACGGCCCAGACUCCUACGGGAGGCAGCAGCUAAGAAUCUUCCGCAAUGGGGGAAACCCUGACGGAGCGACGCCGCGUGGACGAUGAAGGCCUAGAGGUUGUAAAGUCCUUUUGCAGACGAAGAAUAAGGCAAGGAGUGGAACGCCUUGCUGAUGACGUUAGUCUUGCGAAUAAGCCCCGGCCAAUUACGUGCCAGCAGCCGCGGUAACACGUAUGGGGCGAGCGUUGUUCGGAAUUAUUGGGCGUAAAGGGCGCGUAGGCGGUGCUAUAAGCUUGGUGUGAAAUCCCCCGGCCUAACUGGGGAAUAGCGCUGAGAACUGUAGUGCUUGAGUUCUGGAGAGGAAGCUGGAAUUCCUGGUGUAGGGGUGAAAUCUGUAGAUAUCAGGAAGAACACCGGUGGCGAAGGCGGGCUUCUGGCCAGAAACUGACGCUGAGGCGCGAAAGCGUGGGGAGCGAACAGGAUUAGAUACCCUGGUAGUCCACGCUGUAAACGAUGUGCACUGGGUGUCGGGGCUUUAAUGGGUCUCGGUGCCGUAGUUACGCGAUAAGUGCACCGCCUGGGGAGUAUGCUCGCAAGGGUGAAACUCAAAGGAAUUGACGGGGGCCCGCACAAGCGGUGGAGCAUGUGGUUUAAUUCGAUAUACGCGAGGAACCUUACCAGGGCUUGACAUGUACCUGACGGUCUGUGAGAGCAGGCUUUCUCUUCUGGGACGGGUACACAGGUGCUGCAUGGUUGUCGUCAGCUCGUGUCGUGAGAUGUUGGGUUAAGUCCCGCAACGAGCGCAACCCCUACUGUCUGUUGCCAGCAUUAAGUUGGGGACUCGGACGGAACUGCCGGUGACAAACCGGAGGAAGGUGGGGAUGACGUCAAAUCAUCAUGGCCCUUAUGUCCUGGGCUACACACGUGCUACAAUGGCAGGUACAGCGCGCAGGAGCGAAACGGUGACGUGGAGCCAAUCGCUAAAAGCCUGCCUCAGUUCGGAUUGGAGUCUGAAACUCGACUCCAUGAAGGUGGAAUCGCUAGUAAUCGCGCAUCAGCAUGGCGCGGUGAAUACGUUCCCGGGCCUUGUACACACCGCCCGUCACACCACCCGAGUUGGGGGUACCCGAAGUCGCUUGUCUAACCCAUUUAUGGGACGACGGCGCCGAAGGUAUGCCUGGUAAGGGGGGUGAAGUCGUAACAAGGUA
rnacentral:rRNA from 1 species